AGAGGUUGUGAGGUAUGGAUAAGGGUAGAUUUGGCUGAUCUGGCUGGCUAGGCGGGUGUCCCCUUCCUCCCUACUGCUCCAUGUGCGUCCCUCCCGAAGCUGAGCGCUCGGUGGAAGAGGAAGAUGUUCCAGGUAUAGAAGGAGUGUACCGAGGUCUCCAGUCUUCGGUUCCAGGUAUACGAUAG
rnacentral:snRNA from 1 species